UCCGCCGCCCCUAGAAUCCCUUCGUCUCAAACUCUCUCUAACCUCUCACCGAAACCCUAGCUCCACUCCGUUGGUUUCCACCUUGUUCCACUGGAACCAAUGGCAUCCCAAUCCCUGGGUAGCCUAUACUCACUCCCACAUACCCCCGUACCCCUGUUACUUGAAGAUUCAAGGUUCGAGCUUGAAGGUCUUCACUCAGAUCUCCACCGAUUCGAGUUCUGCGGCCAUCUCCGGCUCAACACCGGCAUAUCCUAGCCAUAUGAGUCCACCUCUGACUCAUUCGACUCGGAGCAGACCCUUUUUCCAGGACUCUCUCACUUCUAGGGUUCUUCUAAAACCCUAGCCUUUCGAGGUUUUCCUAUUUUCUCUAGAUCCGCUCUUGUUUUAAGGUUUUCAAGCGUUUUCUUAAAUCUCUUUCAAAAUUUUGCUUUCAAAACUGUUCAUCUUCUCCGACUUAGGGUUUCUUUGAUUUUACUUGUUCUACUGUGAUUUUAUGUGGUGUUCUUAUUGUAUUUGUCCUACUGUGACUCCUGUCUGUUUUUACUUUGACUCCUGUGUGUUUCCUUCUACUAUGUUUCCUCCUAAUGUUUCCUUGUGUUUUCUUUUACUGUGUUUUCCCUCAACAUGUUUUCACAGAACGAUUAAGUUCCUUUGGGGUUUUCUGAGUUUGCUCUUGCCUGAUUUGUUCGUUUUCGUCCCUACACUGGAUUAAUGACGAAAACUCUAGAAUUUGGGGUUUUCGCACCACUUGUAUGUGACUUGCAUGUUCUCACCUCUGAACUAGUUUGAUUUCAAUUUCUGAAAGUCAUCUCUAUCUUUUCAUAUGGUUCUGACCUUUUGCCAAAGCUCUUCUACACUAGAUUUUCCUACUGAUUCUUUACAAUGACAGUACAGUCUUCUUUCAUGUUUGACGUGUUCGUAUGCUCCUUAUAUAUUAUGAAUUUACACCUAAAAUGGUUUUCCAAAUUUGCAAUUAGUUCAAAAUUUCUUCUGAAUAUAGCUUGAUUGAUUUCUUUCCAUUUUUUGCACGUGACUCGGCCUAAGUAAAACCCUUCUCCUUUUUUUUCCAGACUUGAUUCAUUCGUAUAAAAAAUCUCAGAUCUUUUGAUUUACUGUUUGUUAAUUGGUCUUCUUACCUUAUUUGCAGAAACCAUGUAUUUCAAAAACUUGUCCUUAAAUAAUUUUAUGUAUUUACCCUUAUUUUUAUACUAUGCACGAUGUUGUUUAUUUGACCCCCUUUCCUUAAAUAUUUCUUGUCCUUUACUGAUCAAAUUGGGAUUCCUUAAUUAAAGGAAUCUCUGUUAAUUGAUUGAUCCUGAUUGAUACUCGAUUAUUUUUCUUUCCUUGCUUGCAUGUCCGAUUUCAAGUAUAAAUACAUGCUCUUCUCUUCACUCCAUCAUCGAAUUCUGACUGCAAAUCAAAAUCAGAAUUCACAUCUAUGUCUUGAAAUAUUCUUUACUACUACCAUUACUACUCCUUUUUCUACACUACUACUGAGCAUUCUGCGUCUUCACUUCCUGCUGUUUGAAUUCCUAAGUACUUUUGGGAGCUUCUUGAGUUUCUCCCUGUUGUUCCUGACUGUUUGUUUGCUGUUACUAUCUACUGUUCUAGAAUUUGCAACUGGUAUGUUCUUUUAUGUUAAAUAGCAUCAUUGUUAUAUGGUCAACUUCUCUGCUUCUACCCCUUCUUUCUUUGUGUGUUUAUUUAUGAUUUCCUGCACUAUGUGAUCACUUUCAAGCAUGCUUUGCCUCUUUGUACUUUCAAUCUAUUAUGUUUUAAUCCCUUCCCCCCAUUCCCUUUGUAUGUGAGUAUUGUUCUGAAUCAUGGCAACACUUGGAAUUGCUGUCUGUGAUCUAGAACUAGACUCUUCAAAGUCUUUACUCAAUUGCUAUCCCAUUCCCAUUCCCCUCUAUGUUCUGAGCUUUAAUUUGGGUCUGUUGGUGUCCUAAUCACCAUUCAGACCUGAGAUUGACUCUAUAAGAGUCUGCUCUUAUUUGUUUGAAUCUGAGAAAGAGGUCAGGGGUGUGCCAGUCUAUGCCAUGACUGGGCAUGACCACCUCAUGCUGAAGUUCCUCCUUCACUUUGCACUUACUCCUAGUUCUUAAGUUCUACCCCCCUCAGGUAAGCCAUGCUUAGGGACCCUAGAGNNNCCCUCUGAACUUGGAUGCCUAAGGGCUGGUAAUUCCACACAUUGUACUACUCUGUUACAACAUUCACUCUUUAGAGUGUAAGCAUUGCCUGGGCUCUUGAAGCUCCUUGGAACUUUGAUACACUCUAAGAGAGGGCCUUGGAAUCUGGAACCCAGAUUUGGUAAAACACAUGUAUUGGAUAUCAAGAUUGCAUUAGGCUAUUUGGAUCUAGCUGUGGGUUAUGAUGUAUUUUAUUUUACUUUUGUCUCUGUAAUAAUAACUUUGUAAUAAAACU
rnacentral:lncRNA from 1 species